CUCAAAGGGUGGUUAAAUACACAAAUUAAAUAAGGCUAAAAACUAACUCCGCUGUAGCACGCAAUAGUUAAAAUAAAUACAACUUCGAAAGUGGCCUUACUAAAAUAAACUUGAACCCACGACAACUAGGAGACAAACUGGGAUUAGAUACCCCACUAUGCCUAGUUAUAAACUUUGAUUUAUCCGCCAGAAUACUACGAGCAACAGCUUAAAACUCAAAGGACUUGGCGGUGCUCCACACCCCCUAGAGGAGCCUGUUCUAUAAUCGAUAAUCCACGAUAAACCUCACCAUCUAUUGCCAAUUCAGCCUAUAUACCACCGUCCAGCCCACCCUUUAAAGGACAAACAGUAGGCACAACUAUAAACAUAAAAACGUCAGGUCAAGGUGUAGCAUAUAAGAUGGGAAGAAAUGGGCUACAUUUUCUAAAUUAGAAAAUUACGGAAAAGCUUAUGAAACUAAAGCUAUAAAGGAGGAUUUAACAGUAAAAAGAAAAAAGAGUGUUCUUUUUAAAACGGCAAUGGAGCGCGCACACACCGCCCGUCACCCUCUUCAAACAACUAUAAGCAAUGAAUAAACAAAGAUUAAAAAAAGAAGAGGCAAGUCGUAACAUGGUAAGUCUACCGGAAGGUGAACUUGGAACAUC
rnacentral:rRNA from 1 species